UAUUACAAAAUGUCAAGAACACACAACGUCUGCGGAAAAAAACCUUGUUUCGAAAAAUGUAAAGUACAAGCUACUUAUAGGAAAAAAUUCUGAAACCCUAAUACUCAAAACAACACAGUACUGGGACGGAUUUAAGAACGCCACUCGACCCAGGUGGUCGAGUGAUUGGUUGGAGUCUUCUUCUCUUACUUGCGCUCGAGUGUCUUGUUGAGUGCGGAAUGGAGAAGACUCUGAAGCUGGCAGUCGAGUAUGAUGUCGAGUGGUGGAAGAUGGUGGUACUCGACUUGGUGGUAGAGUGAUUGGUCGAGUGUGCGAUGAUGAAGGGACUCGACCAUGUAAUCGAGUGGGAGAUCGAGUGAAAUGAUCGAGUGAAGGUGAUGGUGGUACUCGACCACGGGGUCGAGUGGUGAUGUGAAGUUAUGGGUUCGUCUACUUGACCAGGGGUCAAGUGGUGGUGAGAAGUGGUGAUGCCAUAUACUCGACCAGGGGGUCGAGUGGUGAUCAAGGGUGUUGCGGUCGAGUGAUGUGCUGCGGAGGCCGUGACCGAGUACUUCAGAAAGUCCAGGAUGGUGGUACUUGGCAUCGGGGUCGAGUAUAU
rnacentral:sRNA from 1 species